rnacentral:tRNA from 1 species
UCUACCAAAGGAUAAUAA